rnacentral:rRNA from 1 species
AGUGAACGCUGGCGGUAGGCCUAACACAUGCAAGUCGAACGGCAGCACAGUAAGAGCUUGCUCUUACGGGUGGCGAGUGGCGGACGGGUGAGGAAUACAUCGGAAUCUACUUUUUCGUGGGGGAUAACGUAGGGAAACUUACGCUAAUACCGCAUACGACCUACGGGUGAAAGCAGGGGAUCUUCGGACCUUGCGCGAUUGAAUGAGCCGAUGUCGGAUUAGCUAGUUGGCGGGGUAAAGGCCCACCAAGGCGACGAUCCGUAGCUGGUCUGAGAGGAUGAUCAGCCACACUGGAACUGAGACACGGUCCAGACUCCUACGGGAGGCAGCAGUGGGGAAUAUUGGACAAUGGGCGCAAGCCUGAUCCAGCCAUACCGCGUGGGUGAAGAAGGCCUUCGGGUUGUAAAGCCCUUUUGCUGGGAAAGAAAAGCAGCAGGUUAAUACCCCGCUGUUCUGAAGGUACCCAAAGAAUAAGCACCGGCUAACUUCGUG